AUUGAACGCUGGCGGCAGGCUUAACAAAUGCAAGUCGAGCGAGCGGCGGACGGGUGAGUAAUGUCUGGGAAACUGCCUGAUGGAGGGGGAUAACUACUGGAAACGGUAGCUAAUACCGCAUACCAUCAGAUGUGCCCAGCUGGGAUUAGCUAGGAGGUGGGGUAAUGGCUCACCUAGGCGACGAUCCCUAGCUGGUCUGAGAGGAUGAUGAGCCACAUGGGAACGGAGACACGGUCCAGACUACUACGUGAGGCAGCAGUGGGGAAUAUUGGACAAUGGGCGCAAGCCUGAGGCAGCCAUGCCGAGUGUGUGAAGAAGGCGUUCGGGUUGUAAAGCACUUUCAGCGAGGAGGCGUUACUCGCAGAAGAAGCACCGGCUAACUCCGUGCCAGCAGCCGCGGUAAUUC
rnacentral:rRNA from 1 species